rnacentral:rRNA from 1 species
GACGAACGCUGGCGGCGUGCUUAACACAUGCAAGUCGAACGGAAAGGCCCUGCUUUUGUGGGGUGCUCGAGUGGCGAACGGGUGAGUAACACGUGAGUAACCUGCCCUUGACUUUGGGAUAACUUCAGGAAACUGGGGCUAAUACCGGAUAGGAGCUCCUGCUGCAUGGUGGGGGUUGGAAAGGUUCGGCGGUUGGGGAUGGACUCGCGGCUUAUCAGCUUGUUGGUGGGGUAGUGGCUUACCAAGGCUUUGACGGGUAGCCGGCCUGUGAGGGAGACCGGCGACAAUGGAGCUGAGGUACGGCCCAGACUGCUACGGGGGGAAGCAGGGGGGAAUAGUGCACAACGGGCGGAAGCCUGAUGCAGCAACGCCGCGUGCGGGAUGACGGCCUUCGGGUUGUAAACCGCUUUCGCCUAAGACGAAGCGUGAGUGACGGUAAUGGGUAAAGAAGCACCGGCUAACUACGUG